GGCUCCAUAGCUCAGUGGUUCGAGCACUGGUCUUGUAAACCAGGGGUCGUGAGUUUCAGUCUCACUGGGGUCU